GUGGCAAUCAUCUGGAAAUGAGUUGACUUCAAAAGUUCAUCAGUUGCAGAUCCAAUGGUUACUUUAUGAGAGCUUCAUUAAAAUCUGUUAAUGAGUUAUUUUCCAGAUAUUUAGAGCAGAUCGUUAGCAAAGCUUUUUUAAGAAAACACAUUUGCCAGUGUCUUUGCGAUGUUCUGUGCUGUUGAUUACUUUGCAGAUGUGAUGCUUAAAGACAGAAAAACCCAGGGCACAGGCAAAAUCCAAAAUGUAAAAAAAAAAGGCUUUAAUACAAAAAAGGCUGGYGAGGCAACUCAAAAUUUCUUACAAAAUCUCAGGGGAACAUGAGGAACACAGAGAACACCACACUGUCUGGUAACAGCACGAUGAUCAAACACCAGACUGAGGACAAGACACCAAAACAUAAAGGGAAACUAAUUAGAGACAACGAGAAACACCUGGAGGAGACACAAGAGGAAACAGGUGAGCAGAGGCGGGGCUGGAGGCAAGACAGCAGGGCAGAGAUACAAAGAGGAACACAGAAACACUAAAGCUAAAGGAAAAAGACACAAAUCGUGACAGCAGAUCCAAUGAAGCAAACUUGUGGACCAGAAAUGGACCGGGGGGCGCCAGCUGUCAAUCGCUUGUUUGGGUUCACAUUAUUUAAGAAUCGUUUUUCAUCAGUGAGUCACAGAAUGUUUUAUAAAACAGCAUUUUGUGACCUGAGGCUUAAAGGUGUGGGGUACAGCAGUGCAAUACAGUAAUAACCCAAAUAAAAUUAAGUUUUAGGAUGAAUAAAUCACAAUUUAUGAGUUGUACAAUUAAAACGUUAUAGGAAGAAUAAGUAGAGACAGUUUUGUGGAUAAGGAUGGUCCAAAAUGCUUCUUCAUUCUUUUAUAUUUAAUGAAGUCCUAUUUUUUUAAUAUAGUGCUAGCUGAAAAAUAAAAGAAAAUGAGACAUUUAGAUGAAAUCUACACAGAAUCCCUGGAAAUAUAUGUAAUAAUAGCUCUGCAGUUGUGUGAAUGUGAGCUAAAUAUGAUUUCUGUUCAAUAUUUCAUGGACCAAACUCUCUCCUUGCUGUGUUAGAGUGUGUGUGGCUGCUGUACAGAUGUUACCCAGGGACAAAUAAGCAUCACAAACUCCCCUGCUACAUUUUUCAGCAGGAUGUCUUGGUUUUCKUUUUUCACCAGCCAGACGGAUGGAGAAAGAGUCUGUGCAUAAGCUGUCUCCCCGUGCACACAUAUAUAGAUUGUCUCAAGUUGAUGAAUCAGCUGCAGGAUAUAAAGGCUUCAGAGACCACGGCAUGUGAAAAGAUCUUUCUUCACUAACAGGAGGAGAGAAUAAGUCAUUAAUAAUGGGAUGCAGGGACGUUCCUCUGGAUGGGAAGAAAUGCUGAAUGAAUCCUGACGGGUUGCUGGAGAGGCAAGGAGGCACCAAAAAAAGAAAAAGAGGGGAAAAAAAGAAAAGGAAGAACAUUUGCAAGCUUCUGGAAAGAAAAGGGAGGAGAGAGGGAGCGGUAUGACUCAGAGCACAGCAGUGAGAAGAGACACUGUAUUCUGCAUGCGAGAGGAGCAGCAGCAGGGAGGGAGCCAGAGGAACACCAAGGAGAACGUGGAGAAAAAGCCAAGGAGGACUUGACCAGAGCUGAGCUCGCCGUUGGACGAAAGGACGGGAUGAGGACGGAGGCUGCCGCACCGGCAAGCAGUUAGCAGGAAAUAGGCCGAGUGAAUCAGCCUGCUGGGGGGGAGAGGGAGAAAGGAAGAGGGUGAGUUUUGAAAGUUAAGCAUUUUAGGAUGACUGACGCCAGCUGAGGGAAGGUUAAAUUAAGGUUUUGCUGCGGGGACCUGGACUUUGGACGCCGAGUGGCAAAGGUCACGAGGGCUGGCUUAAUGAACAAUUUCUCGAGCUUGUCUUUGAGCGAUUUUUCUCCUGCUACGAGGGAGAGGAAGCAUGACUGAAGACGGUUGACCAAAAAUGACGACGAAGGGUACAAAUGAUGGCAAGUCAAUGCAACAUUUAAGAGCCAAACAGAAAAAAGAACUGAAGUGAGAAAAAAUGGGGACAUGGAAACACACCAAGAGGAUCCUGUUAAAUAUUGAUGCUGGCAGGCCUUUUCUGAAAGCUUGGACAGUUGAUUUUCUAUUCUGAAGGAUUUUGUUUCUCUGAACAGACAACUCACAUCAACCAAAGGGAUGCUCACAGCAAAUUCUCACAAUACCUUAAAAGUGCAGGCUUGGCUUCCUGGAGGACUUUUUUUUGGACAACUGUGUAACCCCUUAGGAAGAGUCCAAAAAUGAGAUUUUGAUGUGGAACACACAAAUAAGUGGGAGACUGACGUGUUUCGUCUUCUCUAACAGAUUCUCUGCAUCACUGCCUGAAGAGAUUAACCAGCCCUCCAGAUCCAAAUGUACCUGUUUUGACUUCCGUUUUUCACGACCCAGAGUAAACUAGAGAACUUUGAUCACCAUUGGUAUGGAGGAUGUCUGAAAUGGAGGCAAGAUGCAUUGUUUGUUUUUGCUUCCUUGACUGACUAAAGGUGCAAUGAGCUAUAAUGUCAUAAAGGCACUGUUAGAAACCACCUUCUCCAACUUAAACCAGCUACAACACAGCGCUACAGCCUUCGUCCAGCUGUAGACAGAUCAGCCGUGGGUCUAUGUGGACCAAUGUCGGGGGUGCGUGAGCACUGUCGAGGAUGUCGACUGUGUUUCCUUGUAUAGAUUUUAACGUGCAAUUGCAUUAUAGACUUUGUCGCCAGCUGUUUCUGGGUGUAUUUUCAGAGCUCUCUUUGUGUGUGUGUCUGUGUGUGUAUAUGUUGCCUGGAUUCUUCCCCCUCUCAGUGACAGAGCUGGACCUGAACAGCAGUGGUAAAUCAGGGGAAAGGGAGGGCAAAGAGGAAAAAAAGAAGAUGAAAGAAACGAGCAGGAAUGGAAAACCCUGGAAACAUGCUUGGAUAAAAAGAAUUGACAAAGUCCUUGGCUGCCCCCCCAGUACAAUGUGUGGCGUGGCGGACUCUCGGGGUGGGGUUCUGUAAUGGUAACCAUGAUCCCCGGCAGCCACUAUGUCUGCAGCGCUCAUGCAAGAGAGGAUGACUCCACUAACGACCGCGAGGAGCGGAUUUUAGCCGUGCUGGGCAUCAUUGGAACCAUCCUGAAUCUUUUGGUGGUUAUAUUUGUCUACAUCUACACCUCCGUCACUUAAGUUUUCUCUACAAGACUUGAAGAAGAAACAAUGGGACACAUGUUCCCUCCCACUGCCAACUUUCUCUAAUAAGUAUUUAAGUAUUUCAAAGCAUUGAUUUUUCACAGCAGCACUCAGUAGAACGGAUCAUUUUUACAGUGUAUAUUCAACUGGAUAGUGGCCACAUUUUUCACAACAUCUGCAAAUUUAAUUUAAAAGAGGAAGUAGAAUCACUCAGACUUUUUUGGCACUGUUUGUAUUAAACUUCAUCUUUGCAUUUUUACACAUUUCCUUGUCUUAAAUGCCUGCCAAUAGCAACAGCUAUAUAUUUCUUACAAUAUGUCUUUUUAACUGGAAAAUGCUGUUGUGACUCUGCAGGCAGCUGAAGAGGAAUUAUUUUGUGUUUGGUCUGAUAGUGGUCAUGUUCUGACUGGGCUGCAUCAUUCACUGUGUUUUAUGUCUCUGUGAAAGUUUGCUACAUUUAAAAUAAUCUCACUGCCAACUAAAAUUGCAACGUGAAUUUCUAAAAAAAAAAAAAAAA